rnacentral:rRNA from 1 species
AUGGCACAAAAAAGGGCUUGUCUGUAUAUCCAAGACAAAACUUCCCCAUUUACAACAGGCAUGAGGUGUCUGCACAUCCAAGACAAAACUCCCCCAUUUACAACGGGCGUGAGGUGUUUGUACGUCCAAGACAAAACUCCCCCCUAUCCCCCUCCACUAACAAUGUUCUUUGUGGUGUUAAAAAAAAGUUCUUUGUGA